GCCCCGAUAGUGUAGCGGCCUAUCAUCCGGGCCUGUCGAGCCCGGGACUUGGGUUCAAAUCCCAGUCGGGGCG
rnacentral:tRNA from 1 species